AUUUCCCCUCAAGUGGUGUGCCUUUCCAAUACCCCUCUUUUUGGAACCCUUCGCCAACUCUUUUCAUUUUAACCCUUUCUUCACUCUGUAAUUGCUUUAACUGAACGUUUAAAUUUUUUCCAUAAAAUUGUCUUGUGUCUUUUAAGAAAAUUUUCCCCCAANCCGUUUUUUUAAAUNCCCNACGGUGUGAANAAUUUGGCCCGGUUUAAGAAAUAACUGUUGUGAUGGUAAUUACCCCUGAUUGGUCGGAAAAGGGCUAGCUCUCCCUUGGGAUAAUACUGACGCUCAGACACCGAAAGCGUGGGGAGCAAACAGGAUUAGAUACCCUGGUAGUCCACGCCCUAAACGAUGUCAACUAGCUGUUGGGGCCGUUAGGCCUUAGUAGCGCAGCUAACGCGUGAAGUUGACCGCCUGGGGAGUACGGUCGCAAGAUUAAAACUCAAAGGAAUUGACGGGGACCCGCACAAGCGGUGGAUGAUGUGGAUUAAUUCGAUGCAACGCGAAAAACCUUACCUACCCUUGACAUGUCUGGAAUGCCGAAGAGAUUUGGCAGUGCUCUGUCGUCAGCUCGUGUCGUGAGAUGUUGGGUUAAGUCCCGCAACGAGCGCAACCCUUGUCAUUAGUUGCUACGCAAGAGCACUCUAAUGAGACUGCCGGUGACAAACCGGAGGAAGGUGGGGAUGACGUCAAGUCCUCAUGGCCCUUAUGGGUAGGGCUUCACACGUCAUACAAUGGUCGGGACAGAGGGUCGCCAACCCGCGAGGGGGAGCCAAUCUCAGAAACCCGAUCGUAGUCCGGAUCGCAGUCUGCAACUCGACUGCGUGAAGUCGGAAUCGCUAGUAAUCGCGGAUCAGAAUGUCGCGGUGAAUACGUUCCCGGGUCUUGUACACACCGCCCGUCACACCAUGGGAGUGGGUUUCACCAGAAGUAGGUAGCCUAACCGUAAGGAGGGCGCUUACCACGGUGGGAUUCAUCUCAGG
rnacentral:rRNA from 1 species